rnacentral:rRNA from 1 species
GGCGUCUCAGGUGCCAGCCGCCGCGGUAAUACCCGCAGCCCAAGUGGUGGUCGAUAUUAUUGAGUCUAAAACGUUCGUAGCCGGUUCAAUAAAUCUCUGGGUAAAUCGGAGGCUUAACCUUCCGAAUUCCGGAGAGACUGUUGAACUUGGGACCGGGAGAGGCAAGAGGUACUUCUGGGGUAGGGGUAAAAAUCCUGUAAUCCUAGAAGGACCACCGGUGGCGAAGGCGUCUUGCUAGAACGGAUCCGACGGUGAGGGACGAAGCCCUGGGUCGCAAACGGGAUUAGAUACCCCGGUAGUCCAGGGUGUAAACGCUGCAGACUUGGUGUUGGGAACCCUUCGGGGGGUGCUCAGUGCCGGAGAGAAGUUGUUAAGUCUGCUACUUGGGGGGUACGUCCGCAAGGAUGAAACUUAAAGGAAUUGGCGGGGGAGCACCGCAACGGGAGGAAGCGUGCGGUUUAAUUGGAUUCAACGCCGAAAAACUCACCAGCAGCGGCUGUUACAUGAAAGUCAGGUUGAUGACCUUACUAGAUUUUCAGAGAAGUGGUGCAUGG